rnacentral:miRNA from 1 species
CCCUGGAGCAGGGGACCGCCAGGUUGCCUAAGGAGGGGUGAACCACCCCAGGUCAGAAACGGAGCAGGUC